GCAGUCGACGAGCUUCCGUUGAUGACGUGCUUGCACUGAUUUCAACAAUGAAGCGAGUGGCGAACUGGUGAGUAACACGUGGGGAAUCUGCCCAGAAGCAGGGGAUAACACUUGGAAACAGGUGCUAAUACCGUAUAACAACAAAAUCCGCAUGGAUUUUGUUUGAAAGGUGGCUUCGGCUAUCACUUCUGGAUGAUCCCGCGGCGUAUUAGUUAGUUGGUGAGGUAAAGGCCCACCAAGACGAUGAUACGUAGCCGACCUGAGAGGGUAAUCGGCCACAUUGGGACUGAGACACGGCCCAAACUCCUACGGGAGGCAGCAGUAGGGAAUCUUCCACAAUGGACGAAAGUCUGAUGGAGCAAUGCCGCGUGAGUGAAGAAGGGUUUCGGCUCGUAAAACUCUGUUGUUAAAGAAGAACACCUUUGAGAGUAACUGUUCAAGGGUUGACGGUAUUUAACCAGAAAGCCACGGCUAACUACGUGCCAGCAGCCGCGGUAAUACGUAGGUGGCAAGCGUUGUCCGGAUUUAUUGGGCGUAAAGCGAGCGCAGGCGGUUUUUUAAGUCUGAUGUGAAAGCCUUCGGCUUAACCGGAGAAGUGCAUCGGAAACUGGGGAGACUUGAGUGCAGAAGAGGACAGUGGAACUCCAUGUGUAGCGGUGGAAUGCGUAGAUAUAUGGAAGAACACCAGUGGCGAAAGGCGGCUGUCUAGUCUGUAACUGACGCUGAGGCUCGAAAGCAUGGGUAGCGAACAGGAUUAGAUACCCUGGUAGUCCAUGCCGUAACGAUGAGUGCUAAGUGUGGAGGGUUUCGCCCUUCAGUGCUGCAGCUACGCAUUAAGCA
rnacentral:rRNA from 2 species